UACGGAGGGGGCGAGCGUUAAUCGGAAUUACUGGGCGUAAAGCGUGCGCAGGCGGCUUUGCAAGACAGAUGUGAAAUCCCCGGGCUCAACCUGGGAACUGCAUUUGUGACUGCAAGGCUAGAGUACGGCAGAGGGGGAUGGAAUUCCGCGUGUAGCAGUGAAAUGCGUAGAUAUGCGGAGGAACACCAAUGGCGAAGGCAAUCCCCUGGGCCUGUACUGACGCUCAUGCACGAAAGCGUGGGGAGCAAACAGG
rnacentral:rRNA from 1 species